rnacentral:rRNA from 1 species
ACAUCCAGAGAUUUAGCAGNGAUGCUUUAGUGCCUUCGGGAACUCUGAGACAGGUGCUGCAUGGCUGUCGUCAGCUCGUGUUGUGAAAUGUUGGGUUAAGUCCCGNAACGAGCGCAACCCUUAUCCUUUGUUGCCAGCACGUAAUGGUGGGAACUCAAAGGAGACUGCCGGUGAUAAACCGGAGGAAGGUGGGGAUGACGUCAAGUCAUCAUGGCCCUUACGAGUAGGGCUACACACGUGCUACAAUGGCGCAUACAAAGAGAAGCGACCUCGCGAGAGCAAGCGGACCUCAUAAAGUGCGUCGUAGUCCGGAUUGGAGUCUGCAACUCGACUCCAUGAAGUCGGAAUCGCUAGUAAUCGUAAAUCAGAAUGUUACGGUGAAUACGUUCCCGGGCCUUGUACACACCGCCCGUCACACCAUGGGAGUGGGUUGCAAAAGAAGUAGAUAGCUUAACCUUCGGGAGGGCGUUUACCACUUUGUGAUUCAUGACUGGGGUGAAGUCGUAACAAGGUAAGCGUAGUGCU